AUAGAGACUCAGAGCUGCAUAUCAAUAAGCGGAGGAAAAGAAACUAACUAGGAUUCCCUUAGUAACGGCGAGUGAAGCGGGAAGAGCUCAAAUUUGAAAUCUUCAAGGUUCUACCUUGACGAAUUUGUAGUUUAAAGAAGUGUUUUCUGUUGGAGUUUUGGUAAAAGUUCUUUGGAAGUAGGACAUCAUAGAGGGUGAGAAUCCCGUAUUUGACCAUUAUUUUCCAGCUUUGUGAUACACUUUCAAAGAGUCGGAUUGUUUGGGAAUGCAGUCCAAAAUGGGUGGUAAAUUUCAUCUAAAGCUAAAUAUUGGCGAGAGACCGAUAGCGAACAAGUACCGUGAGGGAAAGAUGAAAAGAACUUUGAAAAGAGAGUUAAACAGUACGUGAAAUUGUCAAAAGGGAAGCGUUUGACACCAGUGUUGUUUUCUCGAAAAUCAAUUAAAAAGGAGUUGAUUUUGUUGUGUAUUGACCUUAUCAGCUUUUCAUUGCAAUUUUCUUCGAGUCUUUUUUAAUGCACUUUUCGGUUAACAAGUCAACAUCAAUUUCUUUUGUUGUAAAAGAGUCAUUCGGAAGGUGGCUUUCUUUUCGGAGAAAGUGUUUAUAGCCCUUAUACUCCUACAAUCGGAGAGACUGAGGUCUGCAGCGUAGAUCCUUCGGGGUUAGAUACACUUUGUGCUAAGUUAGUAGCUUUUUAUAGACAACUUGUUGACUAUGAUUAGUCAUUGUAGGCUUACUCGCUUAUGCUAUUUUACCUACGCUUAGGAUGUUGACGAUCAGCUGAGCGCG
rnacentral:rRNA from 1 species